CCAUAUUAAUGUGUGACUGUGGCGAAGGAUGGCUUCUUAUUUAUUAUUUUAUACCUCUGUAAAGCCUCUCUGUUGAUAUCAAGCCACGUCCACACCCUGAGCUUUAGAUGAUGUGACAGGAAAUGUGACAAUGAUGGAAUCAAUCACGGACAGUGACCGUCUACAGCGGCUCCGUGAACUUGAAGCUCAACUACGGGACCCUCGAGGCAUCGUCAAUGUCGACUCACUCUUGGACGCAGUGCAGGCGAUGGUCGCUGACUGCGAUCAUCAGGCCAUCAGGAGAAAUAAGAAUGUCGAUGCUUUCCUUAACAGAUAUCGGGAGUCCAUAUUGGAUGUGGAGUUAUUGCGAAUGCGGGCGGAAGAUUUCACAAAUAUCAAAGUCAUCGGGAGAGGGGCAUUUGGUGAAGUUCAGCUUGUUAGACAUAGAUUUACUAAAAAGGUCUAUGCAAUGAAACUAUUAAGUAAAUUUGAAAUGAUUAAAAGAUCGGACUCCGCCUUUUUCUGGGAGGAGCGAGACAUCAUGGCCCACGCUAAUUCGGAGUGGAUCGUCCAACUACAUUUUGCGUUCCAAGAUUCUAAGUUCCUGUACAUGGUGAUGGAUUACAUGCCAGGUGGUGAUCUCGUUAACCUCAUGUCCAAUUAUGACGUCCCCGAGAAAUGGGCCAAGUUCUUUUGUGCAGAAGUUGUGUUGGCUCUUGAUGCCAUUCACUCCAUGGGUUUCGUUCACAGAGAUGUGAAGCCCGACAAUAUGCUCCUAGACAGUAGUGGUCACCUCAAGCUGGCUGACUUUGGUACUUGUAUGAAGAUGGAUAAGGACGGCUUGGUGAGAUCUGACACGGCCGUAGGAACCCCCGACUACAUCUCCCCGGAGGUCCUCAAGUCCCAGGGCGGGGAGGGGGUGUACGGCCGUGAGUGUGACUGGUGGUCGGUGGGCGUGUUCCUCUACGAGAUGUUGGUAGGGGACACUCCCUUCUACGCGGACUCUCUGGUUGGCACCUACGGCAAGAUCAUGGACCAUAAAAAUUCCCUUAAGUUUCCCGAGGAUAUUGAGAUCUCCACCGAAGCCAAGAGUCUUAUAUGUGGCUUCCUAACAGACAGAUUAACGCGGUUGGGUGGUAACGGUGUAGAUGAAAUUAAGCGACACAAAUUUUUCGUCAAUGACCAAUGGACGUUUGACACUAUUAGAGAAUGUGUACCGCCAGUAGUUCCGGACCUCACGAGCGAUGAUGACACCAGUAAUUUUGACGAGGUGGAGAACGAGGACACACCAGAGGAGAGCUUCCCAAACCCUAAGGCCUUCGUGGGCAACCAUCUCCCAUUUGUUGGCUUCACGUACUCCAAGGACUACCGGUUACUUAGCACGAUAGACAAGCCGGACGGUAAAAGAAAUUUGAACACAUUGAUAUGGGAUUUGUUGAAGACCAACGACGGCACCGAUGUGAGUAACCAGAUUGCCGUCCUGAGCGCCGAGGUGGAGCACCAGAGGAGCCAGGCGGAGGAGUUGGACAGCAAGUACCGGGUAACGCUGAGUCAGUUGGACGUCCUCACGCGGAAGGACCUCGAGAGGCAGCAGGAGAGACGAGACCUGGAUAGAAAGUUGGCUCUGUUACAACAUGAUGUGAAGGAAGCUCAGAGGAAGGCGGACAAUGAAGUGGAAAGCAGACGGAAACUCGACGGACUGUACCAGGAGGUGAAGAAGAAGCUGGAGGACGAGCAGAACAAGCGCACCCGGGACCUCUCCUCGGCAAAACACGCCGAGGAUAAACUAAACUCGCUAGAAAAACAGCUCAAAGAAGUCCAGGAGAAGUUGAAGACGGAGACGGACGGCAACACCCGUCUCCGCAAACAAAACGCGGAGCUCAACGUGAUAAACCAACGUAAAGACGCCUCGGUGACGGAGUACAUGGAGAAGAUCACGUCAGUCCAGUCAGUGAGGGACACCCUAGAGAGAGACCUGGUGAACCUACAGACACAGCUGGACCAGGAGCGAUCGCAUAAGAACCAUCAGGCCGAUCUCGUCUCACAAGCUGAAAUCAAAAUACAGGCGUUACAGUCCAAGCUUGAUAGUGCUUUUGAUAGAGAGUCCGUCGCUCGAAAAGAAGCCGAGAAGGUGUCCGAGCGUCUGGUACAGUUGGAGAAAGACAGAAACUCGCUCGAAUUGGAGUUACGGGGAAUGACGAGCCGUUACGAGCAGGAGGCAAGAGCUCUACGGGAGGCCAACAACGCUGCCCCGACACACAACCACCAGUCCAGUGCCCAGGCUCUUGCAGCCUUGCAGGACCGUCUGAACGCAGAGAAGCAGAAACGUCAACAGGCAGAGGCGUCUAGUCAGGAGAAGGAGCGUCAGAACUCCAUGCUGAGCGUUGACUACCGGCAGCUGCAGCAACAACUCCACAAGCUCGAGGGAGAGUACCGGCAGGAGUGCGAGAAGGUCAAAGCUCUGCAGAAACAAGUGGAGACAGAGACGGAAAAGAGAUCUGGUAUUGCCUCGGAUCUCCAAGCCCAGUCAUCGGAGGUCGCACUCUUACGCACCAGAGAAAAGUUACUCAUCCGUGACCUGGAAGAAGCUAAAGAGGCGCGGUCAAGCCUCGAGGAGGAGCUGCACAAACUCAAAACGCAGAAGUCGGUUGACGAUGUGCAGAUGAGGGAACUACAGGACACCCUCGAGGCGGAGCAGUACUUCUCUACACUCUACAAGACUCAGGUACGGGAGCUUCGUGAAGAGGCAGAAGACAAGAGCCGACAGGUGAUGGAGUUGGAGGAGGAGCGCACGAGCCUCACUCAACAGUUGCAGUUGGCUGUUGGACGAGCCGACUCCGAGGCUCUGGCCUGCUCCAUCGCAGAGGAGACAGUAGCAGAGCUGGAGAAGGAGAAGACUGUGAAAGAAUUAGAAAUUCAGGAUCUUCUUUCCAGACAUACAUCAGACAUCACUGAGAAAGAUUCUGUUCUUAAUGCUAUAAUGGAACGAGAACAGGAGCUGAAUCGGUCAGUGGAGAGCCUCAAGCAAGACAAGGAGGCGCUUAAUGCUCAGGUCCAGCGUCUUGAGGAAGAGUACAAGAAGACCACGUAUGAUCGUAAGGAGGAGCUGGACAAACUUAGUAAACAGCUGAAACAAGAACAGCUCCUGAAGAUGCAGGCGGUCAACAAACUAGCGGAGAUCAUGGCCCGCAAGGAGAAUCUCCCGGCCAGUCGUAAACCCAAGGCCUCGGCCAACGACCUGAGGAGAAAAGAGAAGGAGUGUAGGAAGUUACAGCAGGAGUUGACCAUGGAACGUGACAAGUUCUCUCAAAUGGUGUCCAAAUAUCAGAAGGAAGUCCAGGAUCUUCAGGCGCUGUUGUACGAGGAGAGUCAGGCCAAGGUACGACUUCAGAUGGAGGCCGACUCUAAGGACUCCGAGAUUGAGUCCCUCACCUGCAAGCUGGCCAACAUCAACAGUGAGACGGCUUCCCUCAGUAGUGGCGCUGACAACGACAUCGAUGAGUUGGAAUCCCGGCUGGAGGGUUGGCUGUCCAUACCCAACAAACAGAAUAUAAAACGUCACGGCUGGCGGCGGCAGUACGUGGUGGUGUCGUCCAGGAAAAUCAUCUUCUACAACUCCGAGAACGAUAAACAAAACUCGGAUCCCAUUCUCAUCCUCGACCUAACAAAACUCUUUCAUGUUCGGUCAGUAACACAAGGUGAUGUUAUUAGAGCGGAGGCACGAGACAUCCCCAGAAUAUUCCAGUUGUUAUACGCUGGUGAAGGGGAGAGUCGAAAGCCCGGCGAUAACCCUGGUCCUCUGGCUCUCCUCGAGGGUGCAGGCCCGGACAAAGCAGGGACUCUAGUCCACAAAGGCCAUGAAUUUUUGGCUAUUAGCUUCCACAUGCCCACCAACUGUGAGGUCUGUCAGCGGCACCUGUGGCACAUGUUCAAACCUCCACCGGCUCUUGAGUGUAGACGGUGUCGUUUGAAGAUCCACCGGGACCACCUGGAGCGCAAAGAGGAGUUGGUGGCUCCAUGUAAAGUUAACUAUGAUUUGAAUACAGCCAAGGAACUACUGCUUCUGGCUCCCACAGUUGAAUGCCAGCAGAAUUGGGUACUGCGGUUGUCGAAGAAGAUUCAAAAGUCAGGGUACAAGGCCAACAAUGCUGGUGGCCCUGACGGUGCCAAAGUCUCCCCUAGAAUGUAAAAGCCUUUAGGACUAUGCAGCUUCAGACAACAAGUAAAUGAGGGAGUAUUUACACUUGAGUUUUGCCGCCAAGAGAGUCAACCAGAUCAUCUUAUCGUCCAUUUGUUGUACAGAAGUCUGCCACUUUGCCCCCAAACUCCAAUUUAAGUAGAAAAUAGUGCAAUCCUGAGGCUAAUAUAUACCUGCUCUCCUACCAUGAGGUCUAUUAGCGACUCUCUUGUUUUUUGAAGAUUGCCUUCGAUGUAGAAUCAAAGAGACAUAACGGCUGUUUAUGGGAAUCAUGGAGACUUCAAUGGAAAAGCUUCUGAAUCCCUCCAUUGUCCUGAGAGUCAGCGUGUAGUGUAGCGUAAACCUCGACGUUGAGGAUGAAAACGAGAGAGUGAAGUAGACAGUACUCUGACUAGCGAAGAUAUUAGUGUAAAGUAUUGAGGACAAGUGCCUUAUCAAGUCCUAGUUAUGUACAUUGUUUUAAAGAUCCUGUUCGUAUUUCUCCUUCAGGAACAAUAAGACGAAAAAAAAUAGUAUGUCAUGAAGAAUUUUUUGGUACAAGAGAGCGUUAUUUUGUAUAUGUUUCUAAUAGUUUCUGUGUAACACUUAAUGCUUCCAGUAUAGAUCCAUAAGUUGUCCUCCAAGUGUGUCGUCCAGACUACUGCAAGCGAGUUAAUGCAAAAUAAAAAACAAAACAACCAAACUACUGCAUUUGUGAUGUGUGUGUGUGUGUGCGUGCGUGCGUGUGUGGUUCGUAAAGGUGUGUCGUCCCUCUGUAAGUACAGUCAACGUUUUCUGGGUAAUUUAUUCGAGGUGGUUUACGUUUCCGUGAAAUCUGCGGGAUGUUUUGACUUCCCAAGUUUUUUAUAUUGACAUUUUAGGUUUUAAAGCCAUUUUAUAUUGGAAGAAUCUAAACGCACCUUGAUGUUAAACUACUCUGGCUGAGCACAUUCUGUAAAUAGUGUAUUGACAUGCGUGAAUGUGGUCUUGAGUGAGUGAAUGGUAGUAAUAUUAAAGUCAUAAUCAGAAGUCAAGUUGAGUUGUGUUUGAGCAAGACCAGAAUAAUUUUUUUUUAUAUAUUAUAUAUAUAUAUAGACAAUUUGUAUGAAUAAUUAUAAUAUAAUAACCUAGAAGUUCAAAAUGCAAGUGAUUCCAUGAUGUGAGUCUUGAAAGUUAGGUUGGAUAGUUCAGAUGGGACCUUACUGCUGAGUUAACUUCAGAGUACCGCUUGUUAUAUAUACAGUAUCACGCCACCCGUUGUAGCCGAGCUGUUCUCACACUUGUUGUUAUCUAACGCCACCCGUCUCCAUCCUCAAAGUUUCCUAUUCCCAGUUCAUUGUGAUUUUCUAUGUAACUUUUGAUGAAAUGUAGUAGGACUUGUGUGAUACUUCCAGUUGCCAUUCCUCCCAAACAGAGAGUCUCUACUGAACAGAAGCAUGAGACAAGAUUCACUGAAUUAGCUAGACUAGACUGUAUGGGCAUUUUCAUUCUAGCUCCCAUAGGUUAUGUUUCAGUGCAUUAACCUUUAUAGGAGUAAACUUGAAAAAGAAGUGUCAGAUGUGUCAAGAUAUAGUGCAAGAAAUUUUGUAUAAGGAGAGGUAUUUUAUGAAUGAAAAAAAAAUAUACUGUAUGUAGAUUAUCACCCAGGAUGGCAAUACUGUACGCUUAUUCAGUAAUUACCUCUCAAGCUGCUGUGUAAUGAAGGUCUGCUGUGAUUGGACAGAUCUCUGAAUCUUAACCUUCAUCUUUUUUCACAACCGACACCCAUGGACUUCAUUCCACUGCUUGUGAUGUUCCUUCCUCUUGUGUAUAGUGUAAAGACUUGAUCGCCGUCGUACAGGUGUGUGACUGACUUACUGUACGAUGACUUUCUUCCUCUACCUUCAGAUGAGUCCAUUCUAUAAAUAAUUUAUUCUAAUUAAUAAAAACAAUGCAUGCCUGUGAACAAUAAGUGAUGUAAUGUUUCACUUAACUUGUAAAACUGUAGAGUAAUUGCUCAAAUUUGCUAAAGCAAACUAAAGUUGUGAUUUUUUGCUUAAAUUACGGGACUUAUAGUUCCUACAAAGCGCCUGACAGCCUCCUUGUUAUGAUGCAGUCUCUAGUUGUACAGUACAGUAAUAGCAGAUACAAUAAUAUACAACAAUGUGAAUAUAUACUUAUGCCCAAUGUCUAGUACAGUACAUUCAACUACUAAGUCCAUUCACCUCUCUCCCUGAACUAUGAACAACCCCAAGAUUCAGACUUGAACCCGAAGCAGUACAGUAGAUUGAUAUAUUAUUCUGUCCAAAAGUCCUUUGGAUUCAUGAGUCUGAAUCUUGGGGUUCAUGAUUCUAGAAGAGAAGCAAACAGACUUUAUGUUGUGUACACGACUAAGGAUGAGUUUGAUAGAGCUAAGGAAGACUUAAGAGUAUAAAUAAGACAGAUAAAUAUUAUGUCUUGAGAGAGUUUGAUACAGUUUAACGUGACUGAAAUUUAAGUCUGCGUAUACCGUACUUUAGCUAAGAUCCGAUGAUGUUAUCCAUUCAUAGACUUAAUACUACUAGUUUAUCUUCUGCUGAUCAACACAGGCAGAGAAACACAGGGAUUUGAUGGAGAUUUCACGAGUCAAAGAAAGGUGCAGCAAUUAGCUGUUUACUUUCUUAGAAAUAUACUUACAAUAAAGGACAGAAACAUUGGAUUAAAACAUUGAUGCAUUUUUUGAUGCCCACUGGUGACCUCUUCAGCUGGGUAGCAGAGUGAAGCAUCGUCUUCCUCCUCCCAACUGUAAUGGGCAUAAUGUAAUGUUUUAAUUCUUUGUCCUUUUAUUGUGGGUCUAAUUUCUAAGCUGACAUACACUUUAUUAUUAAACUUUCUAAUCAUUAUUUCUAUAUGUGACCAGAAUUAUUUUUCAUGUCUGAUUUGUCAUAGAAGUUACUUGCAUGCGCUGGUUAGGUUAAGUAUUAUAAGAAACUUGUAAUCACUUUAAUUGCUGUCAGUGAUCAAGGACUUUGAGUUUCUAUAAAAAAAAUAGUUUUACUUUUUGCAAUGUGAUAAAAGGGUUGUUAUGAUUAUUGGUUACAAGCGAACAUAUUCCUUUCAACAUUAAAUAUAUUUUUUCUAAAUUUGCUGCCUUAUAGUAUUGAAUUAUAGUGUUAAACUUGACAUAGUGGCAAGAAUGAUGUGUAUAAUAAUUGCACUAAAGCUUGAAAUUUUGCUGAGUUGGCCAAAUACAAUCAAUUAUACCGUAUAAUUUGUUCUAUGUGUGUGAGUCAUGUGAUCAUUGAGCCUGGAGUGUACAGGUGUUCUUAAGAAAUGGGAAAAAUGUGUUUACAGUACUACUUUUUUCUUUAUAUUUCUCUAACUAUUACCUGAUACUAAUUGUCAAUGUCGUCGUCGUCUAUAUAAUUACAUGAUGCUCCCUCCUUUAACAUAGCCACAUCAUUAACAUAAGCAGAGUUUGUCAAAUGAUUAUUUUAGCCAGUCAAGUGCCUCUUAUUUAUAAUACAUUCGAUACAGGUAACUUAAUAUAGUCAGGUUUAUGGGGAAGACUAUUGAGUGAUAUCAAAACAUUUUAAGAUGCUGUGUGUUGAAGUGAAUUUGGUGGUCAGUUUUUGCCUUGAGUAUUAUUGUUGGUUUACACACGAAGAAACUAAAUUGUUGUUGUAAAAUAUCAUAGGUAAUAUACUGUGAAAUUUGGUCAUUGAUCUCAAAAUGAAACACUUUAAUGUACAUAUUCUAAUGCAUUAAUGGCAAGGAUGUUGUGUGAAGGGGUAACAGUAUAGUACUUAGGGACGGUAAAUAUAUACCCUGUAGUACCAUAAUGCUGCCGAUAAUCACGUAAAUAUUAGGUUUCAAGAAUAUUUACAUUUAGAAUUGGAGGAAGAACAGGAUGGACAGGAAUGAUUCAAGAAACACACAACGUCAGGUAGAGUUCGAUCAGAUUUUUGUUCAAUGCCGUGUAUAUUUUUUUAUUGCCGUGCUGCCGUCUGUUUUAUAAAAGCUUAAAAAAAAUCACAUUAUUAAUUAUUUUUUGUACAAUUUGGUUUUGAGAUGAAUGUAAUUGAAUUUUUUUGAUGAGUUUUAAUUCAGGCAACAUGUUAUUAAUUUCUUUAUAAAUUGUGAGUAAGUUUGCCAUAUAGUGACUUGGAUUUAAUUUUUUUUUCCCUCGUCGAUUAAUGCAAGUCAGCGAAGAAAUAAAUUUCCUAAAGAAGGGGGAAAAAAUGUGAAGAAUGUGUAGCUGUGAUAAGGUAUAUACUGUAUGUUUUAUUGUAGAUGUUAAGGAAUUGAAAUGGAUGAUAUCUGAAUUUUUUAAGUCAUUGUAAUACUGUACUUCUCUUGCUAGAUGUGAUGCAUUAGUGCAAUUUUAAUAUUUUCCUUAUCACUUUUUCUUUUUUCUGUUCACUUGUAUUGAUUCUUGUCUUAAUUUUCAGCACAAAGUCAUUCUCUUUGUAGUUUUUUCUCACAGAUCAAGUUAUGUAUACUGUACCUUUUUCUCUCUCUCUACUUAAACAGAAAGUAUUUAUUUUUCCAUGACCAAACUUAUGUACUUUCAGAUUUUAGUCAUAAUUGUUCAUGUAGUGCUAUCACCGUGUACAGUGAGACCUCUAUUUAAUGGACUACACGGAGAGGAAAGUCCGCUAUAUCGAGGGUUCGUUGGGUGCGAAAGCUCCAUCUAACGAACUACUUAGAGAUGAAAGUCCUUUAUAAUGAGGGUCCGAUAGACAUGAACCCCCCCAUCUAGUGGAUUAUAUGAAGAGAGAUGUCCGUUAUAUGGAGGUUUCACUGUGAUUUAUUAAAGUGUAACACGUCGUAUGUAUUUACAGUGUUUCCUCUUGGCAUAAUAGGUGGUUAAGAAAUUUUUUUUUCAGUUAGACUGUAUCCCGAGGUCAUGAAGUAGGUAACAGUUCAGUAGUUUGUUUUGAUAUUUAGAUAUUCCAUUGGCAAUAAUUUAAAUUAUGUCUCAUGACUCUUGUGCUUACAUGUCUAAUAUGUCUAUCAGUAAUAUGUGUAUGACUUUGCCUGCCCUGCAUUCAUUGUGAGAACUGUACUGUAGUGACUCCAUCCCUUAGUUAGUGUUAAGCUCUCAUCAUCAUCCUUCUUCACUGUCUAGAUAUAGGAAGUGGUACUUGUUAAUCCCAAACUGAACAGUUAUCAUAAUUACACUGACCAAAUUUA